ensembl:lncRNA
CAGGAACUACCACAAAAGCUGAGGCAAUGCUUAUGAUUAUGAGCCAUGCAGCAAAGCAUAAAAUAACUGGUUGCCAGUUGCAUGAUCUAUUGCAGCUGAUAAAUCAAUUGUUUGGGCAAGAGGUUGUACCCCGAUCCAAGUAUCUUUUUAACAGAGUGUUUAAAAACAGUUGUGAGGAAGUAGAAUUCCAGCUCUACUGUGAAAAAUUGUAACUCAAAUAUUGGAACAACCCAGGAAAUCAAUGACAGACAAAUGAAUGAAUGCAGAUCGUGUGGCAGCACUUUUGAGUUUGGGUCUAUGAAUGGUGGUAACUUCUUCAUCAAUGUUCCUCUUGCUCCACAAAUUCAGACUCUGCUUGAAAGCACAGAAGUGAGUGGCCAUCUUAACUACAGGUUUGAUAGGCAGAAGAGCCAUAAUGAGAUGCUGUCAGACAUCUACGAUGGGGAGAAGUACAGGGAGUUGUCUGGCCCAAAUCAGAUCCUCUCAGAUUCUCACAACUUGUCAUACAUAUUUAACUCAGAUGGAAGCCCUGUCUUUAAUUCAUCAAAAAUUCUCUAUAUGGCCCAUCCACAUCAUGAUCAAUGAGCUUCCACCUGAAAUUAGGUUUAAGCAUGUUUUGCUUGCUGGCCUUUGGUUUGGUCCAAAAGAGCCUUUGAUGGAAGUCUUCCUUAAGUCAUUUGUGGACCAGGCCAAGACUCUAGCUGACACUGGUGUCUCAUGGCUUAAAGAUGGGUCGGUUAUCAACAGCAAAAUAGUUGGCCUCUGUUGUAGUGUUGAUUCCAGAGCAAGACCACUGAUGCAAAACACUACCCAGUUUAAUGGCUAUUAUGGCUGUGGAUUCUGUCUGCAUCCUGGGAAGCUGGUUGAUAAAGUAGUUAAAUAUCCAGUUUCAGCAGAAGAAUACUGUGACAGAACAAAUGAGGACAUGGUCAGGGAUAUGGAGUUGGCUCUGGAAGUGAGGACAAGCAUUAGGGGCACAAAAGGUCCUUCUCCUUUAAUCAACUUGCCAUACUUCGAUGUUGUCUGGGGUUUUGUCCCAGACUACAUGCAUGCAGUUUUACUGGGGGUUUCAAGACAGUUGACAAGACUCCUUUUUGAUACUUCUUCAUCCACCCAGCCAUAUUAUGUAGGCAGUCCUGCCACUUUGAGAGAGAUAGAUGCUAGAGUUGUUGGUAUCCAGCCUCCACACCUGAUUACUCGACUGCCUAGAGGGUUGUCAGAUAGGAUGCACUGGAAAGCCUCUGAGUGGCGAUCCUGGCUCCUGUUCUACAGCCUACCAUGCCUUGAAGGAAUUCUUC